rnacentral:rRNA from 1 species
GUGCCAGCCGCCGCGGUAAUACGAAGGGUGCAAGCGUUACUCGGAAUUACUGGGCGUAAAGGGUGCGUAGGUGGUUUGUUAAGUCUGCUGUGAAAUCCCCGGGCUCAACCUGGGAAUGGCAGUGGAUACUGGCGAGCUAGAGUGCGGUAGAGGGUAGUGGAAUUCCCGGUGUAGCAGUGAAAUGCGUAGAGAUCGGGAGGAACACCAGUGGCGAAGGCGGCUACCUGGACCAGCACUGACACUGAAGCACGAAAGCGUGGGGAGCAAACAGGAUUAGAAACCCUUGUAGUCC